rnacentral:tRNA from 1 species
CGGGGCGCGGGUCUGUGAGGCAACGGUUUUUGGUACCGCCAUCCCUGGUUCGAAUCCAGGCGCCCCAGCCA